GAAUUUAAGCAUAUUAUUAAGCGGAGGAAAAGAAACUAACUAGGAUUCCCUCAGUAGCGGCGAGCGAAGCGGGAUUAGACCGAGAUGAAAAUCCCUUCGGGGAGUUGUAAUCUGAGCAAUGUUGAGUGUUCAGUGAAUGUAAGUCACAUGAAAAUGUGUACCGGGGAGGGUGAAAGUCCCGUCCAGCAUUCACAGGAAUUUCUCGUACGACAUUGUUUCAACCGAGUCGGGUAGCUUGAGAACGCUGCUCUAAUAGGUGGUAAACUUCAUCUAAGUCUAAAUACUAGUGGGAGACCGAUAGCAAACAAGUACCGUGAGGGAAAGAUGAAAAACACUUUGAAAAGAGGGUGAAAAGUAUCUGAAACCGCCAGGGGGGAAGCGAAUUGCAUCAAAGCGGGCCUCGGAUUGUUCAGCAAACCUUCGCGGUUUGUGUACUCAGUCCGAUGGCUAUGUUGAGAUGGCUGUUGCAUUCUGGAACACAUGAACAUUUGUUUGUGAUGCAGAGAGUGAUGGUGAGGGCUCCCGAAAGGUUUAAGAGGAUCUCAACUAAUGGAUGCGAUUCGACCCGUCUUGAAACACGGACCAAGGAGUUUAGCACUACUGCGAGUCGAAGGGUGUGGAAACCUAGAGGCGAAGUGAAAGCGAAAGCUUGAGAAAUCUGCUACAGAUUGGGGAGGUGUUGCGUCAUUGACAAAGCAUCCUACCUGGAGCAGUAGUGCUGAGACCCGAAAGAUGGUGAACUAUGCUUGAGUAGGGCAAAGCCAGAGGAAACUCUGGUGGAGGCUCGUAGCGAUGCUGACGUGCAAAUCGCUCGUCGAACUUGAGUAUAGGGGCGAAAGACUAAUCGAACCAUCUAGUAGCUGGUUCCCUCCGAAGUUUCUCUCAGGAUAGCAGGCCGACGAUGUGGGUUGUUUUGUGUGGUAAAGCGAAUGAUUAGCGUAUUUGGGGGUGUAAUGCCUUCGGUCGAUUCUCAAACUUUAAAUACGCAAGAUAGAGAUGGUUGCUUAAUUGAACCUCUCUCCUGAAAACGUCGGCCUUGUGGGCCACUUUUGGUAAGCAGAACUGGCGAUAUGGGAUGAACCAUAAGUUUGGUUAAGGCGACUAAAUCUUCGCUUAGAGAUACCACGAAAGGUGUUGGUUCAUAUAGACAGCAGGACGGUGGCCAUGGAAGUCGGAAUCCGCUAAGGAGUGUGUAACAACUCACCUGCCGAAUGAACUAGCCCUGAAAAUGGAUGUCGCUUAAGCGGAGUGCCGACACCGAACCGUUUUGGGGAGCAACGACCAAAAUGAGUAGGAGGGCGUGGCGAUUUUGUUCAGAAGGGUUCGACGCGAGUCGGCCUGGAACGGUCGCUAGUGCAGAUCUUGGUGGUAGUAGCAAAUAUUAAAGCGUGAUCCUUUAAGGACGAAGCGGGGAAGGGUUCCAUGCGAACAUUGAUUGGGCAUGGGUGAGUCGUUCCUAAGCCGGGUGGUAAUCGUUCCGACGAUCGGCGAAAGGGAAGUUGGUUAAAAUUCCAACACACGGAUGUGAAGGCGGCAACGCAAAUUGAGGUGGAGACACUAGCAGUGAAACUAGGCAGAGUUUUCUUUUCUGUUUAACCUGUGCCGUACUCUGUGGAAUCCGUUUAUCGGGAGAAACAGGUGCUUAGCGGGAAGAGCGUAGGGGUGUCCCCUGCGUCUAGUAAUUCGCUGAUAGUCCUUGAAAAUCCAUCUGCAAUGUAAUUUCACGCCGUGGCGUACCGAUAACCGCAGCAGGUCCCCAAGGUGAACAGCCUCUGUCUAAUAUGAACAAUGCAGGUAAGGGAAGUCGGCAAAAUAGACCCGUAACUUUGGGAAAAGGGUUGGCUCUAGUGGGGCGAAGGACAAACUGGCUCGUGGUGGUUUGGUGUGGUGUGUCUGUUUCGGGUAAACUGUGGUCAAACAUUGUUUCGCCUGGGACGGAUGCCUGCAUUGAGCUGCCGCGGUCCGACCUUCAUCAUGCUCCAAACUAGAACUGCAACGGGCAAAGGGAAUCCGACUGUUUAAUUAAAACAAAGCAUUGCGAUGGCCGGGGACGGUGUAGACGCAAUGUGAUUUCUGCUCAGUGCUCUGAAUGUCAAAGUGAAGAGAUUCAAACAAGCGCGGGUAAACAGCGGGAGUAACUAUGACUCUCUUAAGGUAGCCAAAUGCCUCGUCAUCUAAUUAGUGACGCGCAUGAAUGGAUUAACGAGAUUCCUACUGUCCCUAUCUGCUUCUAGCGAAACCACAGCCGGGGGAACGGGCCCGGCAAAAUCGGCGGGGAAAGAAGACCCUGUUGAGCUUGACUCUAUUCUAAUUUUGUGACGCAAGUUAGGAGGUGUAGCAUAGGUGGGAGACUUCGGUCGCCAAUGAAAUACCACUACUCUUAAUCUUGUUUUACUUACGGCGUUAAACUGCACGAUCAUUUUGGUCUUUUUUGGGUUCAACUUGGAAGAAAUGACGGAGGGGGGGUGUCUUCGCGGGCAUCUCACCUCCAUCUCCUCGGAGCAGCGCGCCGGACAGAUUUAGGAGGGGAGUUUGGCUGGGGCGGCACAUCUUCUACAAGACAACGAAGGUGUCCAAAGAUAAGCUCAGUGAGAACAGAAAUCUCACGUAGCGCAAAAGGGUAAAAGCUUGUUUGAUUUUGAUUUUCAGUGUGAGUUAAAAAUACGAAAGUAUGGCCUAUCGAUCCUUUUAUAUUUCGAGGUUUGAAACAAGAGGUGUCAGAAAAGUUACCACAGGGAUAACUGGCUUGUGGCGGCCAAGCGUUCAUAGCGACGUCGCUUUUUGAUCCUUCGAUGUCGG
rnacentral:rRNA from 1 species